GACAGAGGGUGCAAACGUUGUUCGGAAUCACUGGGCGUAAAGGGCGUGUAGGCGGGAAGGAAAGUCAGAUGUGAAAUCCCUGGGCUCAACCCAGGAACUGCAUUUGAAACUCCCUUUCUUGAGUGUCGGAGAGGAAAGCGGAAUUCCUGGUGUAGAGGUGAAAUUCGUAGAUAUCAGGAGGAACACCGGUGGCGAAGGCGGCUUUCUGGACGACAACUGACGCUGAGACGCGAAAGCGUGGGGAGCAAACAGG
rnacentral:rRNA from 1 species